rnacentral:rRNA from 1 species
ACGUACACUCCUACGGGAGGCAGCAGUGGGGAAUAUUGGACAAUGGGCGCAAGCCUGAUCCAGCCAUGCCGCGUGAGUGAUGAAGGCCCUAGGGUUGUAAAGCUCUUUCACCGGUGAAGAUAAUGACGGUAACCGGAGAAGAAGCCCCGGCUAACUUCGUGCCAGCAGCCGCGGUAAUACGAAGGGGGCUAGCGUUGUUCGGAUUUACUGGGCGUAAAGCGCACGUAGGCGGACUAUUAAGUCAGGGGUGAAAUCCCGGGGCUCAACCCCGGAACUGCCUUUGAUACUGGUAGUCUUGAGUUCGAGAGAGGUGAGUGGAAUUCCGAGUGUAGAGGUGAAAUUCGUAGAUAUUCGGAGGAACACCAGUGGCGAAGGCGGCUCACUGGCUCGAUACUGACGCUGAGGUGCGAAAGCGUGGGGAGCAAACGGGAUUAGAAACCCUGGUAGUCCCA